UACGGGGGGGGCAAGCGUUGUUCGGAAUUACUGGGCGUAAAGGGCCAGUAGGCGGCCAACUAAGUCGGAUGUGAAAUCCCCAGGCUUAACCUGGGAACUGCAUCCGAUACUGGAUGGCUUGAAUUCGGGAGAGGGAUGCAGAAUUCCAGGUGUAGCGGUGAAAUGCGUAGAUAUCUGGAGGAACACCGAUGGCGAAGGCAGGUCUCUGGGCCACUACUGACGCUGAGAAGCGAAAGCAUGGGGAGCGAACAGG
rnacentral:rRNA from 1 species